CCUACGGGUGGCAGCAGUGAGGAAUAUUGGUCAAUGGACGAGAGUCUGAACCAGCCAAGUAGCGUGAAGGAUGACUGCCCUAUGGGUUGUAAACUUCUUUUAUAAAGGAAUAAAACGAGGCACGUGUGCCUUUUUGCAUGUACUUUAUGAUUAAGGAUCGGCUAACUCCGUGCCAGCAGCCGCGGUAAUACGGAGGAUCCGAGCGUUAUCCGGAUUUAUUGGGUUUAAAGGGAGCGUAGAUGGGUUGUUACGUCAGUUGUGAAAGUUUGCGGCUCAACCGUAAAAUUGCAAUUGAUAAUGGCAGUCGUGAGUACAGUUGAGGUAGGCGGAAUUCGUGGUGUAGCGGUGAAAUGCGUAGAUAUCACGAAGAACCCCGAUUGCGAAGGCAGCUUACUAAACUGCGACUGACAUUGAUGCUCGAAAGUGUGGGUAUCAAACAGGAUUAGAUACCCUUGUAGUC
rnacentral:rRNA from 1 species